rnacentral:tRNA from 1 species
UCCUCAAUAGCUCAGCUGGUAGAGCAUACGGCUGUUAACCGUAGGGUCGUUGGUUCGAAUCCAACUUGAGGAGCCA